rnacentral:piRNA from 1 species
UACAGAGUGAAUUCCAGAUAGCCAGGG